UUAAAUUGAAGAGUUUGAUCAUGGCUCAGAUUGAACGCUGGCGGCAGGCCUAACACAUGCAAGUCGAACGGUAACAGGAAGCAGCUUGCUGCUUCGCUGACGAGUGGCGGACGGGUGAGUAAUGUCUGGGAAACUGCCUGAUGGAGGGGGAUAACUACUGGAAACGGUGGCUAAUACCGCAUAACGUCGCAAGACCAAAGAGGGGGACCUUCGGGCCUCUUGCCAUCAGAUGUGCCCAGAUGGGAUUAGCUUGUUGGUGAGGUAACGGC
rnacentral:rRNA from 1 species